UGAACGCUAGCUACAGGCUUAACACAUGCAAGUCGAGGGGCAUCAGGAAGAAAGCUUGCUUUCUUUGCUGGCGACCGGCGCACGGGUGAGUAACACGUAUCCAACCUGCCCUUUACUCGGGGAUAGCCUUUCGAAAGAAAGAUUAAUACCCGAUGGCAUAAUGAUUCCGCAUGGUUUCAUUAUUAAAGGAUUCCGGUAAAGGAUGGGGAUGCGUUCCAUUAGGUUGUUGGUGAGGUAACGGCUCACCAAGCCUUCGAUGGAUAGGGGUUCUGAGAGGAAGGUCCCCCACAUUGGAACUGAGACACGGUCCAAACUCCUACGGGAGGCAGCAGUGAGGAAUAUUGGUCAAUGGGCGCUAGCCUGAACCAGCCAAGUAGCGUGAAGGAUGAAGGCUCUAUGGGUCGUAAACUUCUUUUAUAUAAGAAUAAAGUGCAGUAUGUAUACUGUUUUGUAUGUAUUAUAUGAAUAAGGAUCGGCUAACUCCGUGCCAGCAGCCGCGGUAAUACGGAGGAUCCGAGCGUUAUCCGGAUUUAUUGGGUUUAAAGGGAACGUAGGUGGACUGGUAAGUCAGUUGUGAAAGUUUGCGGCUCAACCGUAAAAUUGCAGUUGAUACUGUCAGUCUUGAGUACAGUAGAGGUGGGCGGAAUUCGUGGUGUAGCGGUGAAAUGCUUAGAUAUCACGAAGAACUCCGAUUGCGAAGGCAGCUCACUGGACUGCAACUGACACUGAUGCUCGAAAGUGUGGGUAUCAAGCAGGAUUAGAUACCCUGGUAGUCCACACAGUAAACGAUGAAUACUCGCUGUUUGCGAUAUACAGUAAGCGGCCAAGCGAAAGCAUUAAGUAUUCCACCUGGGGAGUACGCCGGCAACGGUGAAACUCAAAGGAAUUGACGGGGGCCCGCACAAGCGGAGGAACAUGUGGUUUAAUUCGAUGAUACGCGAGGAACCUUACCCGGGCUUAAAUUGCAGUGGAAUGAUGUGGAAACAUGUCAGUGAGCAAUCACCGCUGUGAAGGUGCUGCAUGGUUGUCGUCAGCUCGUGCCGUGAGGUGUCGGCUUAAGUGCCAUAACGAGCGCAACCCUUAUCUUUAGUUACUAACAGGUUAUGCUGAGGACUCUAGAGAGACUGCCGUCGUAAGAUGUGAGGAAGGUGGGGAUGACGUCAAAUCAGCACGGCCCUUACGUCCGGGGCUACACACGUGUUACAAUGGGGGGUACAGAAGGCAGCUAGCGGGUGACCGUAUGCUAAUCCCAAAAGCCUCUCUCAGUUCGGAUCGAAGUCUGCAACCCGACUUCGUGAAGCUGGAUUCGCUAGUAAUCGCGCAUCAGCCACGGCGCGGUGAAUACGUUCCCGGGCCUUGUACACACCGCCCGUCAAGCCAUGGGAGCCGGGGGUACCUGAAGUACGUAACCGCAAGGAUCGUCCUAGGGUAAAACUGGUGAC
rnacentral:rRNA from 1 species